AACGAACGCUGGCGGCAGGCCUAACACAUGCAAGUCGAACGAUAAGCCACCUUCGGGUGGUGGACAGUGGCAGACGGGUGAGUAACGCGUGGGAACGUGCCUUUCGGUUCGGAAUAACCCAGGGAAACUUGGGCUAAUACCGGAUAAGCCCUUCGGGGGAAAGAUUCAUUGCCGAAAGAUCGGCCCGCGUCGGAUUAGCAAGUUGGUGGGGUAAUGGCUCACCAAGGCGACGAUCCGUAGCUGAUCUGAGAGGAUGAUCAGCCACACUGGGACUGAGACACGGCCCAGACUCCUACGGGAGGCAGCAGUGGGGAAUCUUGGACAAUGGGCGCAAGCCUGAUCCAGCCAUGCCGCGUGAGUGAAGAAGGCCUUCGGGUUGUAAAGCUCUUUUGCCAGGGACGAUAAUGACGGUACCUGGAGAAUAAGCCCCGGCAAACUUCGUGCCAGCAGCCGCCGUAAGAC
rnacentral:rRNA from 1 species